CGCGGUCAAUGAUGAGGAACAGGUCGCGGGCCAUGACCGCUUUUUUGGUGAUCUUGCUAGUUGUUAGGUAUUCAAGUAACACAGUCAAACAUGAUAUCGCUGAUACGCACACUUAAUGGCCAGCCGUCAAGUGCGUUGCACAAGCUUUACCAAGGUACAUGGAAACAAGCAUUAAUAACAUACAACCAAAGCAUGUCCAACGGGUAAGCGUAUAGGAGCAAACAACCAACCAGAUAUGCACUCGUGCAACGCAAAGCAAACUGAUGAAAAAUAAUACGGACUUGCGUUGCGGAAGCCGGGUUAGUUGGCGUAAGACCCUUGGGCGAUGCAAGCUUUUCGGUUGCUUCGCCCCUGUUGCAUGGCCCCUGCGCAAGGAUGACGCACAAAUCGAGAAUGCUUCGCCACGGCCCGUGUCCUCAGGUCCGUAUAAAUAGCACGCUUGGGAUCAUUCCUUAUUUUUUAUGUUCGUGAGGCCUUUCAUUUCAGCUUAGGCCUCCUUAGCACAGCAUUCCUGUAACAGGGAUGGCAGUUACUCUUGGAACAACAACUAAUGCGGAACAACUAUAUCGCGCAGGAAAGCAUUGACGCAUUGGAGAUUUUCUUCCCAAGAAGCGAGUUGCAGAGACUCACAGGGAACCGGGGCGCUGGAUCACGCGAGGAAGUCACCUG
rnacentral:lncRNA from 1 species